rnacentral:lncRNA from 1 species
UGAGCCACCAUGCCUGGCUUCAAUUCUUAAAGAUUUGAAUUAAUUGAGUCCCUAGAUUAGAAAUAAUUUUUUUGGUUACAGAGUCCCAUCAGUUUUCUGGAAAAACGGACAAAAGGCUAAAGCUAGUUUCAUUCAUCACAAGGUCGCCAUCUCUUAGUUCUCUAGUUUCAGGCUAUUUCACUUGCUACAAGAUUUGAUUUUAAGAGAGAUCUGUAUGGAAGCAUUUUAAAGUUAAUGUCCAAGAUUGAGCUCAAAUGCAAUGUGGAUUCUUCUUUAUUUUGAAAUAUUUAUAGCUUUUCUAUUUUUUGGCAUACUCUUAAUCGAGCAUGCUGCCGAUUGCUGGUCAAUUGGCUUCGACACAGUAGUCCAGGGCCACAGUCGCAACGCUGGAAGAUUUCUGGAGCUUGAGCAGUGUCUUUAUGCCCUCUUCUGGAGCAGACCUGUCCCUCCAAAAGGACUGGCUUACAAAUUUUCGUCCAAAAAUGACGAGCACAGCAAAGUCCAGGGCCACAGUCAAAAGUUCUCAGACAACUUUCUCCCUCUUGUCCUGUAACAAGGUUAAUGUGGGCUUUAGUGAUAAAUAAGGAAAGUGGCCUGCUGGGGGUUUGCUACUGGGAUAAGGGAAUGGGACCUAUGACUGACAGCCACAAAGUAAAAACAGACACAGCACGCAGGUCUCACAGAGCUAGGUGUUACGCUAAAAGCAGUAAUGCCAUGGCGACUCCACCCCUACCCAUCAGAAUUGAUCGUUGUUACUGGCUGCAGACUACCUUAGGCUACUCUCUACGUGACCCCCACAGCUUCUUACAGAAAGAGAUAACAAACAGCACAUGCUUCCUAAGUGUUUCUGGGAUGGAGAAGAAUAAAAUCAGUCU